GUCUGAAAAAUAGAAAUAGUUAGGUGUGAUUGGCAGCAGAUUUGAGCCAAAUUUUCAACUUUAAUCGUCCACAGGGCAGGACAGAUUAAUUUGGUAUUUUGUUCAACUUUCAAAUUAUUUAAAUUUUUAGCACUGUGCAACAACAAACAAACUGUUUUCAUCAAUCUGGAUAACUGAUAUUUAAAGUAGGUAAUUCCCAUCAUUUCCUUGUGUUAACAGUAUGCAAUGUUUCAUUAUAACAUUAAUAUAUCUAUGGCAGAAAAUUUUCAUGCACUAUAUAAUUUAUAACUAGCUAAUAGUAUAAGUGCACUAUGUAAUAUCAGUCAUUAUUAAUAGCUACGACUAGCGCACUGACAAAUCAGUGCACUAUAUAAUAUUAAUGAAUAGCAUUUACAUUGAUUGAUAUUGUCGGUUCACUUUAUAAUAUCUAUGAUUAGCAAUAACUUUGGCUUGAAAUAUCUUUUUGCUAUGUUAAAUCUAUAACUAACAAUAUUUACUAUCAGUAAUAUCUUUACACUGUAUAAUAUCAGUGAUUAGUUAUAGCUCUACCUAGAAAUAUUGGUCAACUGUAUUAUGUCUAUGAUUAACAAUAACUAUGAAUAGUAAUAUUUUUUUACUGUGUACACUAUCUAUUGUUGGGAACACAUUUGACAAGAUAAGUAAUUUCAUCAUUAUAUUUCAUCAUAACAAUUCCUCAUAACAGAUCCAGAAAUAUUUUUGACUGUCGCACAAGAGGGCGUGGUCAGAAACCCUAUGAACCACGUUAUUAUUUGUUUAGAAAAGAAAGUUCCAAAAUUACGGAUGUUUACAAAAAUACAAGACAACAAGACUUUUUUACUGCAAAUUUUCAAGACUGAGUAGAAAAACCAAACACGUAGCAGCAUGGAGUUUAGAUUUGAAAUAUCAGCGACUUGAAAGUUUAGUUACAUACGUAGCUUCAUUGUGAUUGCAGCAUUAAAACACAAAGCCAUUGAUGGGUUACUUUUCACAGAAAAGUACCUGCGAGUAGCACAUUUGCUUGUAAUGCUCAAAAUAAGCCUUUAAUAUAGAUAUUUCAUAACCCUCCCCCCCCCCAAUCUUUGAAAUCUUUUAAUUGCAAUUAGUUGGAAUUGUGAGUAUGGCCUAAAAGUCUAAGUCAAGAUUCCAAUGCUUAUUUACGUCCUUGUGUAUUGCAGAAUGCAGCAGGUAUUGAUUGUAUUCAAUUUCUCUGUCGUUGAAAUUAAUGGAAGAGCUUCUUGCCUUCCUGUUUGCGCUUUGAAUACAAUUCAAGCACUGGAACCCAACCUUGUUCUACAGCCUGCGUAAUCCCUGGUUUGGCAACUGAAACUGUUGUAGUGUUUACUUUGCUGACCUGCUUAAGAACUCUGCUCUGUACCUUUUAACGUAAUAAGCAAAGAACAUUUAAUUCUGAUCAAAAUCAACAGUGCGAAAGGUGGUUGCAAAAGCUCCGAGCUUCAACAAUAUGCGAAUGAUCAAACAAAAGUCAGUUUGAACGCAGAGUUUCCCUUUAAAGAAACCCCAUCAUCAUUAAUCUUGGCUAUAAAUAUUUCCACUGUUGUAAUCUCGGCAAAUUUGAUAGCAAACAAAAUCGGCUGUUAUUUUUAGUGAAAUGAAUUAAAAAAUUUAGUGAAGACAAAAACAUACUUGCAAAGGAAAACUUUGGUCAUUUGGAUGAUUAUGUAAAUCACUGUUUACAUAGAGAAUACAAACAUAUAUUUCAUAUUGGCCAAUUCUGUUUGUUUUUUUUCAGUUUGGCUGGCUUGUGUGCAUUUCUUAUCGCCUUGCGUGUUAAUACAAUGCGCUCGCUUUAAAACACGCUGAACAGGACUCGAAUAAAAGGGUAGAGGAAAUGUUUAUCAGCUGUCUUAACAGUCCCACUCUCUCCAUCCUCAUUUAUCUUAAAGUGACAUUUAAUAAGUGUGUCAGAAGGUGUAUCUAGUAGUCAAGAAGUGUGUUUUGUCGAAUUACUUCUAUGAUAUUUUAAAAAGCGGCUUUUAGAAAAGAUAAAGAGCAUAUAUAUUUUGUUUCUUGAGAAUGUCAUUCUCGUUUCUUGCGAAGUAUUCGUGGAAAAGUUGACAAAUGUGUGUUUAUUUUCACAGCUUGACUUGUCUGCAUAGCAAACCAUGCUCGACUUGCUUUUAUACCCGACGCUUUUUCAGUGCUUUGAGUCCGACGGAAUAAGUGUGCUUGAAUGAUCUCCAGCUGGUAAAGCAAGCUGAACAAAUGGCCUGGAGGCUGUCUGCACUGCUCAAAAAUGCAAAUCAAUAACCAAUACAGCAGGCAUGGGGAGAUCAGGUUGAAGAUGGGAUCGGUACACUUUGUUCGAUACAUUCAUUUGCUGCGAUUAUUGAAUCAAGAAAGAUUGAUGGCAAAACAAGACUAAGGAAAUCAAUUGCAACAAGUUCUGUGUGCUUGGGAGCAAAGACAGUUGUAUAUUUGAUUAAUCGGUCUGUAAAGGUCAGUAAUGAAAAUUUAUUAUUUUCUGUUGAUUAUUAUUUCAUCACCAGAAAACUCUGACUAACAGAUUCUGAUUAUGUCUUUAAUGACUUAUUUACCAAUUCUAAACCAAAAAUAUUGUCAGAAAUUUUGGACAUCAAACAGUGUAUACAAAAUGUUGAAUAAUUACAACAGGAUCUAUAAAUCUUGUCAUUUGAACAUAUUUUUCAUGAAACUGAAGCAUGUUCUUAAAUAAAAGGUGCAAAACUAAGAAAAAUACUGGGUACUUAUUUUAAUAGGUUCGUAUUUGGGAGAAUUCACUGUGUUGAAUUUUUACAAAACUUAAAAGAAUAAUCGUACUGUUAACGUACAUCAAGACAAAGAUUUUUUGAAAAAAAUCAUCUGCUGUCUGCUUGCAGAAAGCCAAAUUAUAAUCGUGGAAACAGAAUUUGUGCACGGGCGAAACAACAGCUAUACUCGUUGCUCUAUUCCUAAUCUAGAUCUUAGCUUUUUUCAGAAUUCAGGAAAUACGUUAUUUUCAAAUUGGAUGAAAUUGUUGAUACUAAUACUUUUCAAAAUUUGGUGGGAAAAUAAGCAUUACUUCCAAGUGUCCAAUUAUGGCCUGCGACACCGACAGUAAAAAUCGUAGGUUACAGUCCGUUGACACAUAAAAAAUGUCUUAACUUAGACAAGCACAUGUUUGUUUUUGAGAAUUUCUCUACCAUCGACGCAUGAAGGAUGUGAAAGCCAUUAAUGGUAAGUGGGCGGUUUUUUAGUUUGCGCUCAAGACAGUUGCGUCGCCAGCUCGAGGUUGACAAAAACAAAUUUUCUCGGCCACAUCCUUCAGACUCUUGGAAAAUAUGAGAUUUUUGGACAAGCAACUUUCUCAAGCAGCAUUUUUGGUAACAUUUUUGCCAGUAUAAAAAUCGAUCUGAAAAGCCCAGCUCUCCCCCUCCCAAAGGUUUUCAGCGGAUUUCGAGAAAUGAGGAAAUCGACUUUUGCGAAAACUGUGGUGGACGUGGACGUGGACAGGUGAAAGGCAUGUGCCAAGAACGAGGCCACUGGCUCAAGAGCAUGUGCCAGGGUGCAGCCACAGAACAGUGAUCGUAACAACAGCUCUUGCUCAAGUGUGCCCACCUCAACAGCUACGUGAGUUGUGUCCAACCAGUGAACGAGGGACAAAAGACCAAGGAAAGUAAAAUACCUUUCAAAGGUCCAGAUUUUGGCACAAGUAUACAGAAGAAGUACUUCCAUGUUUGGCAAUUCCAAGUCAUAUGAAUUUCCUUAAGACAUAGCAUAAUUAAGACACUGUUAUAGAAUCUAAGAGUAAAGUCACAAAAUUUUUGCAUCUGUUGCAAUCUUUAAUGGACUACUGUGAAGAAACAGGAAUAAAAUCUCGUACAUUAAAAUCUGCACCAGCUCAUAAGGAGCAGUGAGAUAUAGUCGCAAUAACGUAGAGAUGUAGCUUUGUGCCUGUGUAGGUUGCAAAGAGUGCCACCCGAUGAACUGACUCAAAUUAAAAGUUAACUUGAUCAAUACAUUGUACAACACGAAACAACUUAUCUGAAUGUGAACUCUAUCAAAGCUCCUCUUCAAAGCAAAAGGAAAUUUAUUAUGUUGCCAGGUGUUUUUUCUGACUAGAAAUAUUCCUUUAUUGAUUAUCUGAUAGAUAAGCUAAAAGGAUGAAUUGAUUGAAUUGAAAAGAAACUGAGAAUCAUGAGCUUCCAACUCUUUGGCUAAAAUGUUGAGAAUUUUUUCCUGGGAAACUUCUAAAGAUCUGUAGAUAAUGGUAAAUAAAAAUCAGAUUGAUUCUUUACAAAAGAUCUAAUUGACAAUUAAAAGUUCUUUGAAUACUGUCGAGAGCCGAUGCACUUGUCGCAAUUGUAGCUACGAUUGAAUUAGCGUGGAUGCAAAAAGAAAUGAGUUUUGGAGAAUUACGUCAUGAUAUAGUGCUUCAUUGUCAGUUUGUAAUUAUAGAAGUGGCUGCAUUGGAUUAAUUUUGUCCUCCCACCUUUGAAGAGAUAGACCAAUUCGACUUACGGCCUCAUUUUGGAAAUUUCUCCAAAUUUAAUUAUUACGACUUUUUUAAGCUCAGAUUUGGUUUUAUCACAAUAGAUUUAGGCUGGAUACAAUUUUUCAUUUUGUUUGUGCUUGUAAUUUAGAUUUUAUGGAGAAAUGAAGUUUGAAGACUUGCAAGGAAUUUGACCACAAAAAUCAUUCUGGGUGAAACUUUACCCCCUUAGUCGCCAAUCACAGCCAAAUCUCUUAUAAAAUUUUUUAUCUUUAUGUCGUCAUAAAAUCAAUAUCAUGAGCAAUACCAUAAUGAAAAUUUUCAAGUAGAUUAAAAUCAUUGCUUGAAAAUGGCUUUGAAAAUAGCAAACAUUUAGUAAACUAAAGCUUUUUGUCUGACACUCUUCAGAGUUUAAAACGUCAGAACAUAGACCGAAAACUCUACGCUAGGAAAUAUAUAUACCCAGUUGUGGAUCGAAAUAGGCCAAUCAGAAACACGAACACAUGACUGUUGAGGUUGACCAAUCAGUGCCGCUUGCCUAUUGAGAAUGUUACCAAAAAUCAUUGCUCUUAAUCCAAAUCUGAGGUUAAUAAUUUUGUACAAAAGAAUUUGAAGAUUUUUUCAAAACGAGGCCGUUAGUCGAAUUGGUCUAUGGCUUGCAGACUGAAAUGUUUGUAUCACUGGAACAUACUGACCAUAUCCAACUGAAAACAAGACUUCCCUAUGCUUGGGUGACUAUUCAUGUAGUUUUUAAAGCAUUCUAUAUACAAGAUUGCUUCUUUUUGGAGAUCUUCUUUAACAUGAGUGUGUAAAGUUGUCCUCUUCGCUGUCGUUUUGUUAUUCACAAUCCCGCAGCUGCUACCUAGAUCAAAAUCAAAUCCAAAUCCUUGUCUUUGUAAUGCAAGUGGAUCUAUUUUUUGAUGAUGCAAAUUACUUAUCUAGCUUAUAAACAUGAAUUUUUGUAUCUAUGUUUAUACUUUAUAUUCAUUUUAUAUGAUCUCUUUCGCUACUUUUCAAGAGACGACAACGAAUAAAAUUCGUCACACCAAGAAGAAAAGCUUCAAACAAAAAUAACUGCAAUUACAUUUCUAGGAAUGGUAAUUUAUAGCCAAAUUAAUGUAGCCUAAUUGACAAAGUACAAUAAUAUUUUGAAUAUCAUCACACUUUAUUUAUCAAAUAUAAUUUUAAAUACACUUUUUGAAUAACAAACGUUUCUCAACUUCCAUCCAUAGCAGCUGGCUUCCGUUACUGGUCUAUGCUCAUACUUUCAAUAGUUUGUGGGAAUUCGCUAUGUUGCUAUUGAAUCUUUAAAGGAUAGACACACUAGAAAUUUGAAAUCUUUUUAAGAGUGAAAGUAAAACGAAAUCCCACAACAGAUAACCUAUAAAGCAGACAGAUAUGAAGCGGACACUCGGUAAAGCAGAUACGCCAACAAUGUUGGACCUCAUUUCUUUAUGUACAACAUUAAUUGAGAAAUCUUUUACUGUUGAAUGGUUAAACGCAGAUUUUAGAAUCUUUGCUUUAAAAGAAUUUAAAGUAACAAUGCAUUUAAAGCAAAACAAUAAAAAAUGGAAACAAAAAUUUCCAGCACAAAUUUAAUCGCCUUUUUCAUUGCUACUAUCCUAUCGCCAGAAAUCUGUAGAUAGUCAAACAUAAUCAUUAUAUUCUUGGCUUUUUUGAAUAAAUGAUGUCCACUUUAUAGAAGUUCCAUUGGACCUUAUAACAUGAAUCAAUAGAUAGUAGUUCUUGUAUAAUAGUUUAUUGCUACAUGAAAAAUUGAAUUUUCAGCAUCCUUUACAACUUGAUGUUGCACUUUAGCCAGACCCAAUUAUGUGCUGUUUGAGACAUCAAUAAAUACUUUGCUAUUGUUAAUUAUAUUUGGACAUUAUAAACAUCACCAUUUGAGUCCGAAUCGUUCCUAUUAUGACUUGGUAAAUGUUUCAUGAUGGUACCAGUUCAUAUUUGAGAAAAUUACCCAGCACCUUACAAUCAACACGCCAUUAUGAAAAUAAAUUUGCUUUCUUUAUUGAAUUGGUCUCGGCUCACAGAACUCAUGAAAAUAUUGCAUUCAUACGGAGAAUGCAACAUAUAUUAUGUAUCCCCUAUUUGUUACAUAUUCAAUUUAUGGCGCCAGAAUUUUGACUUUCGAGUUUGAUUUAACUUUCCAGUGAAUGUGGCUCCCAGAGAGGCCUACUUUAUACACUGACUACCCGGGGAUGUGCCUGCCAAUAGCCUCUCACUUUUGGCUGAAAAUUCCGGGACAGUAUUGUGCUUGUUGUCACUUUUUUCAAGCACAGUUAUGCUCAUUGAAGAUACUUUUUCCGGAACAGGUAAGACUUAUUAGAAAAAUGAAAGUGUUGCCAUCUUCAUAGAGACUUACCAAGCUAAAUUACUUGUUAAAAACUUGCAAAAUGAGGAAUUUCAUACGUAAAAAUAGACUUACUGAUCGUCAAGACAGAAUGGUAGCCUCCCAAGAAAGACUUUUUUGGUCUACAAACAGACUCUCACCAGCCAAAGCAAAAGCUUGCGUCACACUUUUGUGCUCAUUAUUCCGUGCGGCCAUGGUUUGGUUGCUCUCUUUUAGAAACUUCCUAUAAAAUAGCGGAAUCCUAUGACAAGUGCCGGGGCUCAUUGCAAAGCAAACACUUGGAAACGAUGAAAGACUGUUCGCCCCGUCAUUUUAUGUAUUUUGCUGGAAACAGUAUGCUAGUUAAGUCGAAUUUGCUUCAGAAUCCCUUUUUGGUUUUUAAUUGAUAAGACCGCGCGAGAUAUCUCGCGGCAUGCCUUUCGCGGGAGCUUCAUUCAACGUUACCCUAAGGCACUGUGCAGAUAACACGUUAUCAGCGUUUCUUUUUUUGACAAACUUCCCGUUUUUGAGAAAGACUCAACUUUUCAAACAGAAGUAGCUGCUUACUGAGCAGCUGUGGGAAAUGGCAAACAAUUCACGAAAUACACAAAAAAACGAAAGGCCAGCAUUCACAGUUGCUCACUUUUAGUAGCUGUUGUUAGGUGCAGUUGUAUCAUGAACGUACUGUUGAGUUAAGUGCUGUUAGAGAAAGAGAAAAGUGACGACAAUUUU